AGUUCAGAUUGCAGGCUGCAACUCGCCUGCAUGAAGUUGGAAUUGCUAGUAAUCGCGAAUCAGAAUGUCGCGGUGAAUACGUUCCCGGGCCUUGUACACACCGCCCGUCACACCAUGAGAGUCGAUAACACCCGAAGCCUGUGAGCUAAUCUUUUAGGAGGCAGCAGUCGAAGGUGGGGUUGAUGAUUGGGGUGAAGUCGUAACAAGGUAAC
rnacentral:rRNA from 1 species